rnacentral:rRNA from 1 species
GGCUCAGGAUGAACGCUAGCGGCAGGCUUAACACAUGCAAGUCGAGGGGUAACAGGGUAGCAAUACUGCUGACGACCGGCAAACGGGUGCGGAACACGUACAGAAUCUACCUUGAUCUGGGGCAUAGCCCGGAGAAAUCCGGAUUAACUCCCCAUAACAUAAGAGAGUGGCAUCACUCAUUUAUUAAAAAUUUAUUGGAUCGAGAUGACUGUGCGUCCCAUUAGCUAGUUGGUAGGGUAAAGGCCUACCAAGGCGACGAUGGGUAGCUGGUGUGAGAGCACGACCAGCCACACGGGCACUGAGACACGGGCCCGACUCCUACGGGAGGCAGCAGUGAGGAAUAUUGGUCAAUGGACGCAAGUCUGAACCAGCCAUGCCGCGUGAAGGAUGAAGGCCUUCUGGGUUGUAAACUUCUUUUAUCUGGGAAGAAACCUCCGAUUUCUAUUGGAGCCGACGGUACCAGAGGAAUAAGCACCGGCUAACUCCGUGCCAGCAGUCGCGGUAAUACGGAGGGUGCAAGCGUUAUCCGGAUUCACUGGGUUUAAAGGGUGUGUAGGCGGGCAUGUAAGUCAGUGGUGAAAUCUCCAGGCUCAGCCUGGAAACUGCCAUUGAUACUAUAUGUCUUGAAUACUGUUGAGGUUGGCGGAAUAUGUCAUGUAGCGGUGAAAUGCAUAGAUAUGACAUAGAACACCGAUUGCGAAGGCAGCUAACUAAACAGUCAUUGACGCUGAGGCACGAAAGCGUGGGGAUCAAACAGGAUUAGAUACCCUGGUAGUCCACGCCCUAAACGAUGAUUACUCGACAUACGCGAUACACAGUGUGUGUCUGAGCGAAAGCAUUAAGUAAUCCACCUGGGAAGUACGUCCGCAAGGAUAAAACUC